rnacentral:lncRNA from 10 species
UUUUCUUCAGGCAGAGCAUAAUGAUUUGCAGUAGCUAGUGUGCUGCCUACUAUAAUGUGCCAAUUAUACCAGAGUAAAAAAAUGAAUGAUACUGAAGCUUUGCACGUCAUGUAAGACAGCACUGUGAGUGAAAAUAAAACCAGGAGCAGGGUUAGCAUAUCUGGAUUUUAGUCUGAGCUCUUUGUCAAAAAAGUCCUGGGCCUCAGUUUCUUUAUUACUGAAGGAGAGAAUCAACUCUGUGAUUCUAAGUUAUAAACCACCGUUAUUAAAGUUCUACUGGAGCCAAAACUCCAAAUUGUUCUGUAUAUUAAAACUUUUCGGCAGGGCAUGGUGGCUUACACCUGUAAUCCCAAUACUUUGGGAGGCUGAGGAGGGCAGAUCACAUGAGCCCAGGAGUUUG